GACGAACGCUGGCGGCGUGCUUAACACAUGCAAGUCGAACGGUAAGGCUCCAGCUUGCUGGGGUACACGAGUGGCGAACGGGUGAGUAACACGUGAGUGACCUGCCCUGCACUUCGGGAUAAGCCUGGGAAACUGGGUCUAAUACCGGAUAGGACCGCACCGUGAGGGUGUGGUGGAAAGUUUUUUCGGUGUGGGAUGGGCCCGCGGCCUAUCAGCUUGUUGGUGGGGUAAUGGCCUACCAAGGCGGCGACGGGUAGCCGGCCUGAGAGGGUGGACGGCCACAUUGGGACUGAGACACGGCCCAGACUCCUACGGGAGGCAGCAGUGGGGAAUAUUGCACAAUGGGCGGAAGCCUGAUGCAGCGACGCCGCGUGGGGGAUGACGGCCUUCGGGUUGUAAACUCCUUUCACCAUCGACGAAGGGUUUCUGACGGUAGAUGGAGAAGAAGCACCGGCUAACUACGUG
rnacentral:rRNA from 1 species